UACGGAGGAUGCAAGCGUUAUCCGGAUUUACUGGGUGUAAGGGGAGCGUAGACGGAAUCGCAAGUCUGAAGCGAAAUCCCCGGGCUCAACCCGGGAACUGCCUUGGAAACUGCGAGUCUGGAGUGUCGGAGAGGUAAGCGGAAUUCCUGGUGUAGUAGUGAAAUGCGUGGAUAUCAGGAAGAACACCGGAGGCGAAGGCGGCUUACUGGAGGAUAACUGACGUUGAGGCUCGAAAGCGUGGGGAGCAAAC
rnacentral:rRNA from 1 species